rnacentral:rRNA from 1 species
GGCCUAGCCUAGUGGUCUGCCUUUUUGGUAUGUACUGCUUGGGCGGGUCUUUCUCUUCUGGCAAGCCAGUAUGCACUUUAUUGUGGGUGCUGAGGAGCCAGGUUUUUACCUUGAAAAAAUUAGAGUGUUUAAAGCAGGCAAAAAUAGCUUGAAUAUAUUAGCAUGGAAUAAUAAAAUAGGCUUUUGUUCUAUUUUGUUGGUUUCUAGGACUAAAGUC